GCCCUCAGGAGCCUAAAGGAGGCCCUUAUGUAGGGCUGUGUGACAUCAGGGCUCCACAACCCGCCCUCCCCUCCCCUUCCCCGGGCAGGAGGAGGUCAGUCCCGAGGAUGGAGACCGGGUGGAGACCUGCGUUUGCUGCUCAGACAAAGUCACUUUGCUCACGAUCAGCUCAAGAUAUUUCUUUGCUGGAGACACGAGGGGUCACAGUAGAAUCAGUGGCCGCGUCAUCCAACAGCUACAACCGGGCGAAGCACUCUGGAGAAGCCAAACAGCGGUUGGCUAGGCGCCAUCUCAUGCUUCAGGAGGGACCCAUCUUGCCGGUGGGCCGGGACUGGGCUACAUGACCCCCAGCAGUCCUGGCCAGUUUUCACGGAGAGAAACAUACUCAGAAAGGUACAGGCAUUUGUCCAAAGUCACACAGCCAGCAAGAGAAGCGGCUGGGAUUAAAGCUCUCAUUUGGUACAAAGUAGGGCACACUCCGUGUAGACUGGAGUUUUAUCUUCUCUGCCAUGGAGGGGGACAGGAAGCCCAGCGACCCCACCCCCCCCCCCCCCAACAAGAUCUCCCUUCAAGAGAUGAGAAACUGGAGGCCCAUAGAGGCUAACCCGUUUGCCUGGGAUCUAGCGGUUUAUAAGAGGCAAGACACAGAUUUCCCAGGUCUCAGCGUCCAGGGUUUGCUUCCAGAAACUUGUGCACAUCCAGGCCGACCUCAGCACUCCGAGUGAGCAAAUGGUUCCUGCUUCCCACACCGACUUCCCGGCAGAGUACCGCGGCAGUGGGGUCCUCCAGUGAGCAGAGAGCGACCGGCAGGAAGGUGACGAAAUUUGACGUUGCGGUGACAUUGACGCAUGAGAUCGCGGGCCUCACCUUGAACGACCGAAGAGCACUUCGGGCGGUGCGGAACCCAAGAGGCGAGUCCUAUGGGAUGCAAGAUUGAAUCAACACUGCCACUCUAUCUUCUCCAGGGAAGCCUCGAGCAUUUCACUUGAGCAUCUCAACUUUUAUACUGGUUUAGCAGACACACGGGGAGAUGGCUCUGUGAAGACAGAUUGGAGCGACACACUACAAGCCAAGGAACGCUACGGAUUGCCGGCAACACCCGGAAGCUAGAAGGAGGUGAGGAAAGAUUCCCCCGCUAGAGCCUUCAGGGAGAGCAUAGCUCUGCCGACACCUUGACUUCACACUUCUAGCCUCCAGAAGUGUGACUGGGGAGCAGAAAACCUGGAGAUGGCCAUGCCCAGAGACCCACCUGGAAGAUUCACAAGCAUGGUUCUCCGUGAUCUGUAUCAGUGGCAGCGCUCACACUGGUCAGUGGGCUAACUGUCCUCUACAUGUGCCUCCCGCAUCUGCCAGCACCGGGGCGCAGAGACCAAGAUGAGCUCAUCUUUGGAAUGCUGACUGCCUUAAAAGAGUCCACACUAUCCAACACACAAUGGAGUCAGAGAUAGAAUACCACUGAAAGCAGAAAUUCAGAGAAUCAUUUGAUUUUUGUCACUGAAAAGUGAACUCAUCAGCCAUUAUUCACUUCUGGUAUGCUCGAAUCUUGUUGGUGUCCUUUGUUGUUGUUUUUUUCCUUCCACAUCAGACCUGUAGUGUUUUUUGGUUAAUUGCUCACAUAUAGCAAACAUGUAUGUUUGGAGAUAUCUGAUCAAAGGUUGAAUAAGAAUGUCAUUGCUUCCCUGUCCACAUUUUUCUCAAGAACAGAUGUCCCCUAGUUUUCAGGUGAGGUUAUAUCCUCUCUGCUGUGGUUGGGGGUAGAUCAAAGCUUUCAGUAGUUGGGGAACAAAGCCACUUCCCUCCCACUCCCUGUCAUUCUCCACUGACUCUUUCCUGAUGCGUGGAAUGAUAUUAAAUGCGGUCCCAAACACUGCUUCAAGCUCUCAUAACUGUGACGGAAGACAACCACUUUUUAGUAUGAUACAGCAUGACUAAUACGGGUAAGCAUUAAUGUGAAAUUUGACAUCUAGAAGGGUGCCAGGAUGGUAAUUCUGAUAGCCUUUUCUUGCAAAUGAGAGGCCUCUCAAUAUGACCUAAUGGGGACACACUAGGUCUAGAAGAAGCUCAGAAGACAGAUUAGCUCUACCCGGGGCUUGGCACUGAACUCAUCUGUGAAUGGGUAAGCAUCAGAGGAUUGCUAUUAAAAAAAAAAAGGAACAAAAUGCACGUACAACGUUUUUCUUAGUGCCUGGCUCAAACAGUGUUAGCUUCAGCUGUACCAGGAUCCUGCUCUUCUGCUGAGAAGAGAUGAGAAGGAUGUUUCUGCUAUACUCUUGUUUGAAAGGGUCACAGAUUUGUUUGAAUCAAAGAAGAGAGGUGGCAGAAUUCUUUAUAUGUGAACAACUGUGCUUUAACCACCAACAGAUUCCAGACACUUUAGUCACAACUGUGAGGGCACGGAGUCAUUCCUCAGAGACCACUGGUGGCGGGCACUCGGGGUCAGAAAGGUCACAACAGAAUGGCUAUUUCAAGUGUAUGAAAUACAACAUUUUCACUUGCUUCUCAAGGUCAGCUCUUGCUGGUCUUAAAUGUAAGCCUUCCUCAGAUGGUGCUGGGGGUGGCAAAAGCAGAGCCUACUAGCUGGAAAAAAUGGGUGAUAGUGAAACAACAAGGUGCCCCUGGAUAGAACUGAAGCAGGAUCCCACAGGGAAAAGGAGUCCACAGAGAUGAGACCACCAUGGGAUAACGUCAAUGGCUGGGAAGCAUCUCCGUGGGGCCAGGAGAACGACUAAAGGUUUGGGGCAAGGCAGGGAUGAAGUAGAGUGGUCGUACGAGCUUUACGUGGACUUCUCCACUGAAGUCUCAAAUCUGGACAUGCAGGGUGUUUGUGAAAGUGUUUAGCCUGUUCAUGAAGGAAGACCUAGUGGAGGGACAGUGACCUUCCUUGGACCUUCCCUGCAUUACCUGAGUCUGUGGAACUCAGUGCUCACACCUUUGAAGCCAACUUCCCCUAGAAGUCACCCUACUGAGGAGCCAGCUUUAGAGUAAUAAUGAAAGGCUCUGGUCAUUGGGUUUCCAGGGAAUUUUAUCAUUUUCAAUAAAUUGUUUUAAAAAAAUUUUAUCUAAUGUUUGAAUUACCAACUAGGUCUCACCAAUGUGGAUAUACAGGAAACAUACCUCCACAUAAUAAAGGCCAUCUAUGAAAAACCCAUAGCUAACGUCACACUCAAUGGUGAAAAACUGAGAGCUUUUUCUCUAAGGUCAGGAACAAGACAAGGACAUCCGCUCUUGCCACUUUUAUUCAAUAUAGGACUAGAAGCCAUAACCACAGCACUUGGAUAAAAAAAAAGAAGAAAAGGCGUCCAUAUUGGUAAAAAAGAGUUAAACUUCAUUAUUUGCAGAUGACAUGAUACUAUAACACAGAAAACCCUAUACUCCACCAAAAACUAAUAGAUGAAUUCAAUAAAGUUGAAGAAUGCAAAAUUAAUAACCAGCAUUUCUAUACACUAAUAAGACUAGUAAGAAAGUAGCAGAAAAAGAAAUUAAGAAAACAACUCCAUUUGCAAGUGCACCAAAAAGAAUAAAAUAACCAGGGAUAAACUUAACCAAGGGGGUGAAAGGCCUGUACUCUGAAAAGCUAUAAAACACUAAUGAAAGAAAGAUCACACAAAUAAAUGCAAAGACACUCAUGCUCAUGUUGUUAAAAUGUUCAUACUACCCAAAGCAAUCGACGGAUUCAAUACAAUACCUAUCAAAGUGCAAAGAGCAUUUUUCACAGAACAAGAAUAAAUAAUACUAAAAUCUGCAUCGAAGACAAAAGACCCUGAAUUGCCAAAGCAGUCUUGAAAUAGAAGAACAGAGCUGGAAGCAUCACAAGCCCAGACAUCAAGAUACACUACGAAGCUGUGGUAAUCAAAACAGUACGGUAUGGACACAAAAAUAGACACAAAGAUCAAGGGAACAGAAUAAGGAUCCAGAAAUAAACCCACACUUCUGUGGUCAAUUAACUCAUGACAGUGGAGGCAAGAAUACAUAAUAGGGAAAGACCAUCUCUUCAUUAAAUGGUACUGGGGAAGCUGGGCAGCUACUUGCAGAAGAAUGAAACCAGACCAUUUUCUUUCAUCAUAUACAAAAAUAAACUCAAAAUUCAUGAAAAACCUAAAUAUGAGACCUGAAACCAUAUUACUCCUAGAAGAAAACCCAGGCAGCAAUCGCUCUGACACUGAUUAUUACAACAUGUUUCUGUUUCUUAAGGCAAACAAACGCAAAAAAUAAACUAGUGGGACCUCAAGAUAAAAAGCUUUUGCACAGUGAAAGAAACCAUCUACAAAACAAAAAGACAACCUACUGAAUGGGAGAAGAUAUUUGCAAAUGAUAUAUCCUAUAAGGGUUUGGUCCAAAAUACAUAAAGAACUUAUACAACUCAACACCCAAAACCCCAAACAAUCUAAUUUAAAAAGGGACGGAGGACCUGAAUAGACAUUUUCCAAGGAAGAUAUACAGAUGGCCUACAGACACAUAAAGAGAGGCUCCGCACCACUAUUCAUCAGGGAAAUGUAAACCGAAAGCACAAAACGGUAUCACUUUACAUCUGUCAGAAUGGCUAAAAUUAAAAAAAAGAUAAGAAACGAUAAAUGUUGGAGAAGAUGAGGGGGAAAAGGAACAUUCACACACUGGCGGGAAUGUAAAUUGGGGCAGCUACUAUGGAGAACAGUAUAGAGAUUCUUUCAAAACUUAAGAACAGAACUAUCUUACGAUGCAGUAAUUUCAUUAUUUGCUACUUACCCAAAGAAAAUUAAAACGUUAAUUUGAAAAGGUAUAUGCAUGCCUGUUUAUUGCAUUAUGUACAAUAGCUCAGAUAUGCAAGCAACCUGUGUCCUCUGACAGAUGAAUAAGAAAGAUGUGAACAGAAACACACACACACGUACGUAUGUCUGUAUAAUGGAAUAGUACACAGCCAUAAAAAGGGAUGAGAUGGAGUCAUUUGAGACCAAGAGCGUAUUAUGCUAAUAAGUGAAAUAAAAUACUUUUCUGAUAUGUAGCAGAGCUCACAUGGGACCCAGUAUGUUUGGUGUCCUUAAUCUGUUUCUUUCCAUUGCAUCUCCUGCCGUAGGCUGUCUGCACCACUAUAUCCCUGGGGGGAAUAUCCCUAGCACUUUCUUCCAUUUAAAAAAGAAUACUUUUCUCUAAAGAGGGGUUCGCUUGCUCUGUUAACCUCAGGACACUUCUAUCAAACAGUAUCUGGAGCUAGAGGCUGGAGAUCACCCUCUAGAGGAGUUUGUGAAUGUAAACAUGGGUACCUAAACACGAUCUGAUGCUUGACCGAGGCACGGAAGGUGCAGGGAAAGAAGCUGUACUUGAAACGGAGUGUCACACCAGGCUUGGAUUCUUGCUAAAGUCAAUGGACAAUGUUGUUUUCAAGAUUCAGUCUAAUUUCCCACAGAAUAUGACAGGAAACUUGGCAGGAUUCCUCUGGGAAAUCCAGGAGGAUGAAAACAGAUGUUUCAUGAAAACCAAAUGAGAGCAAAUCUUUGUCAAACGUUUGGGCUUAGGGACCAGAUAUAGCAUUAACAUUGUGGUUCUCUAACUCUCGAGCUGUAUGACUUUGGACUAGCUCAUCAACUUCUUUACGCCCCCGAGACAGACAGAAGCAGUUCUUGACAUCUGGAAGCUGGCACAUGACUGCCAACUUGGCCUCGAUAUUUCCAGGAGUGGCCUGGCACUCACAGCUGUGUCUUGGUGUUCUCUUGUUAAACAUAAGCCAUUUCUAGUGCACUAACAUCAAAACAAAAACAAAACCACUCCAUGAUCAUGUCCAGACACAGACAAAACCAUGAGCACUGUCCAAAUCGCAAAAAUGACCAACGAUCCCCCCAUAUGAGUGACUGCUGCUUCUUUAUUAACUACAGUUUUAGUCUCACUGGAUUCCCUUGCUCAAAUAAAUGAGUCUUAUGGAGAUACCCAAUCAUAAAAUUCCCCCCUACCUCCUGACAGCAUUCAGUCCUGAGCCAAGCCCUGCUUCCUAAAUCCUCCCACAAAUCACAUAAGCCCUAAUCCCAUAAGUCCUAGGACCUGAUAAUUGAGACAGCCCACGUUUUGUCACAGUGUGUACUCUCCCUUGUAACAAGCAACUUCUUCAGCUUCACUUGGCUGGUCUUUGGCUGGAGGGCAAUGCCACCACCUUAUUCCCAUGACAACUACCUCACAGAAUUUUUAAGCACAGUUCGGUGUAGCAGAGAACAGUGACCAGUACUCAGUAUGUGUUCACUGUUUUUCUAUUCUGAGUCAUACUACGGAGGUAAGUGUUAGGUAUUUAAUAUAGUUCCAGUUUAAACAGCAACCUGCCCAGACAGCAGAGCAAGAGGUAUUUAGAGGCAAGGAGUGAAUGAAGACACUGAUGGCUCUUAAGGGAGGGCAUAAGGAAGGGCUGAACUUUGGGAAGGAGCUACACCCAUUAGAACCUAAGGCCAACUCAAGUUCCCAAGACAUUUUCAGUGUUGCUCUGUCUUCUUGUCUCUGCCUGUAUUCUAUACUAUGUUUUGGAAUGCCUAUUGUUUAACAUUUUAAUGUGGAAACCUAGAGAACUAAUUCUUUAAAACCUAAUUGGUGAAAUUAGUUUCACAUUUAAGUCUUUAAUCCAUUUUUACUUUUUCUGUGUGUACAGGUAAGAAAGUGGUCCAGUUUCGUUCUUUGGCAUGUCCGUUUUUUCCCGCACCAUUUAUUGAAGAGACUGUCUUUUCUCCAUUGUAUAUUCUUGCUUCGUUACAUAUUAAAUGGCCAUAUAAUCAUGGGUUUCUUCCUGGGCUCUCUAUGUCACGUGCCUGUUUUUGUUUCCAUACCAUACUGUUUUGAUUACAACAGCUUUGUAGUACCUCUUGAAGUCCGGGGUUGUGAUACCUCCAGUUCUGUUCUUUUCAAGACUGCCUUUUCUAUUCAGAGAUAAAAAGUGGUUCCAAACAAAUUUUAUUAUUAUUUGUUCUUGUUCUGUGAAAAAUGCUGUUUGCACUUUGAUAGGGAUUGCAUUAAAGCUGAAGACUGCUCUGGGUAGUAUGAACAUUUUAACAGUAUUUGUUCUUCCAAUCCAUGACCAUGAAAUAGCUUUCCCUUUUUCUGUAUCCUCUUCAAUUUCUUUCAUGACCUAAAUGUGAGACCUGAAACCAUAAAACUCUUAGAAGAAAACACAGGCCGUAAUCUCUUUGACUUCAGCCAUAGAAACAUUUUUCUAGAUAUGUGUCCUAAAGGCAAGGAAAACAAAAGCAAAAAUAAACUACUGGGACUUCUUCAAAAGAAGCUUUUGCACAAGAAAGGAAACUAUUAAAAAAACACCCACAAAAAGAUUAUCUUCUGAGCAAGAGAAGAUAUUUGCAAAUGAUUUAUCCAGUAAGGACUCAAUACCCAAGAUCCAUGAUGAACUUAUUAAACUGAACCCCAAAGAAAUAAAUGAUCCAAUUAAAAGUGGGCAGGGACGCCUGGGUGGCUCAGUUGGUUAAGCAGCUGCCUUCGGCUCGGGUCAUGAUCCCAGCGUCCUGGGAUUGAGUCCCACAUCGGGCUCCUUGCUUGGCGGGGAGCCUGCUUUUCCCUCUGCCUCUGCCUGCCACUCUGUCUGCCUGUGCUUGCUCUCACUUCUCUCUCUAUGACAAAUAAAUAAAUAAAUAAAUAAAUCUUGGAAAAAAAAAAUUUUUAAAAGUGGGCAAAGGACCUGAACAGAUGUCUUUCCAAGGAAGACAUACACAUGGGAAACAGAUACAUAAAAUGAUGCUCAGUGUCACUAAUCAUUAGGGAAACGCAAAUCAAAAGCAUAAGAUAUUGCAUCUGUCAGAAUUGCUAAAAUCAAAACCACAAGAAAUAGUAAGUGUUGGAAAAGAUGUGGAAGAAAAGGAACACUUAUGCACUGUUGGUGGAAAUGUAAAUUGAUGCACCUACUGUGGAAAACAGUAUGGAAGUUCCUCCAAAAGUUAAAAAUAGAAAUCCCAUUUGAUCCACUAACUCCAUUACUGAGCAUAAAUUCAAAAAGAUAUGUGCACCUCUAUGUUUACUGCAGCAUUAACUAUAAUACCAAGAUAAGGGACCCAAGU